UACCCUCCCAACCCGGGCUCCCGGACCCUGAAGGCAGAGAAGGUCCACCUCUGCUGCAGAUGUUUCAACGCUGCAACUAGCAUCUCCGUCCCAGAGGCUAGUGCAGAUAAGAAGGCAAAAAAACCGCACUCGUGAUGAAAUGUUCUCUGAGCUCAUGCAGUCUACUCAAACUGAAAGAGCCCAGCAGAAUGCGUGGAGGCAGA